rnacentral:tRNA from 1 species
GAAGAUGUAGUUCAGUGGUAGAGGGCAUGCUUAGCAUGCAGGAGGUCCUGGGUUCAAUCCCUGGUACCUCCA